AGUGAACGCUGGCGGUAGGCCUAACACAUGCCAGUCGAACGGCAGCGCAGUAAGAGCUUGCUCUUACGGGUGGCGAGUGGCGGACGGGUGAGGAAUACAUCGGAAUCUACUUUUUCGUGGGGGAUAACGUAGGGAAACUUACGCUAAUACCGCAUACGACCUACGGGUGAAAGCAUGGGAUCUUCGGACCUUGCGCGAUUGAAUGAGCCGAUGUCGGAUUAGCUAGUUGGCGGGGUAAAGGCCCACCAAGGCGACGAUCCGUAGCUGGUCUGAGAGGAUGAUCAGCCACACUGGAACUGAGACACGGUCCAGACUCCUACGGGAGGCAGCAGUGGGGAAUAUUGGACAAUGGGCGCAAGCCUGAUCCAGCCAUACCGCGUGGGUGAAGAAGGCCUUCGGGUUGUAAAGCCCUUUUGUUGGGAAAGAAAAGCAGCAGGUUAAUACCCCGCUGUUCUGACGGUACCCAAAGAAUAAGCACCGGCUAACUUCGUG
rnacentral:rRNA from 1 species